CCUACGGGGAGCAGCAGUGAGGAAUAUUGGUCAAUGGACGAGAGUCUGAACCAGCCAAGUAGCGUGAAGGAUGACUGCCCUAUGGGUUGUAAACUUCUUUUAUAUGGGAAUAAAAUGUUCCACGUGUGGGAUUUUGUAUGUACCAUAUGAAUAAGGAUCGGCUAACUCCGUGCCAGCAGCCGCGGUAAUACGGAGGAUCCGAGCGUUAUCCGGAUUUAUUGGGUUUAAAGGGUGCGUAGGUGGAUUGUUAAGUCAGUUGUGAAAGUUUGCGGCUCAACCGUAAAAUUGCAGUUGAAACUGGCAGUCUGGAGUACAGUAGAGGUGGGCGGAAUUCGUGGUGUAGCGGUGAAAUGCUUAGAUAUCACGAAGAACUCCGAUUGCGAAGGCAGCUCACUGGACUGCAACUGACACUGAGGCUCGAAAGUGUGGGUAUCAAACAGGAUUAGAUACCCUUGUAGUC
rnacentral:rRNA from 1 species